rnacentral:rRNA from 1 species
CGCAUCUGUGCAUGCAGCAUAUCAAUAAGCGGAGGAAAAGAAACUAACAAGGAUUCCCUUAGUAACGGCGAGUGAAGCGGGAAGAGCUCAAAUUUGAAAUCUUCAAGGUUUUACCUUGACGAAUUGUAGUUUAAAGAAGUGUUUUCUGUUGAAGUUUUGGUAAAAGUUCUUUGGAAUAGGACAUUAUAGAGGGUGAGAAUCCCGUAUUUGACCAUUAUUUUCAGCUGUGUGAUACACUUUCAGAGAGUCGGAUCGUUUGGGAAUGCAGUCCAAAAUGGGUGGUAAAUUUCAUCUAAAGCUAAAUAUUGGCGAGAGACCGAUAGCGAACAAGUACCGUGAGGGAAAGAUGAAAAGAACCUUGAAAAGAGAGUUAAACAGUACGUGAAAUUGUCAAAAGGGAAGCGUUUGACACCAGUGUUGUUUUCUCGAAAAUCAAUUAAAAAGAGUUUGAUUUUGUUGUGUAUUGACCUUAACAGCUUGCAUUUCAAUUUUCUUGCUUUUUUUAAUGCACUUUUCGUUUAACAAGUCAACAUCAGUUUCUUUUGUUGUAAAAAGGUCAUUGGAAGGUGGCUUUCUUUUCGGAGAAAGUGUUUAUAGCCUUUGACUCCUGCAAUCGGAGAGACUGAGGUCUGCAGCGUAGAUCCUUCGGGGUUAGAUACAUUUGUGCUAAGUUAUAGCCUUUUAUAGACAACUUGUUGACUAUGAUUAGUCUUGUAGCUUACUCGCUUAUGCUAUUUUACCUACGCUUAGGAUGUUGACGCGCGUGUGUGCGUG